AUGGUGGAAUCUCUCUCGUUGAUGUUCCCAGAUGUGUCUGCUGACUUCAUUCUUGAAGCACUAAAGGCCAAUGAAUUCGAUGCAGUAUUCACCGUUGAUAUGCUUUCCAAACUGCCAUCAGGGAAUAGACCUCCAGGAGGCCAGCCUGUACCAAGACCACUCCCAAGGCGAAUGCAACAGCCUAUGGGUGGUAUGCAAAGAAUGCCUCCUGGUGCAAACAUGGGUGCCUUUGGUGCAGGGCCCCAAGCAGGCAUGGUUGUGAUGAAUCCCAGUAACAUGCCAAUGCAGAGAGGCGCAGGUGGCCAGUUUCAUCCACAUCCACACCAGUUGAGAAGGAAGGCAGAUCAAGGGAUGGGGAUGCAGAACCCCGGGUACCCUCAUCUGAAGACGCGCUUCUGA
rnacentral:rRNA from 1 species